rnacentral:lncRNA from 1 species
CCCUCCUAACAGACAUAACUCCAUUUAUGUCCGCACUCAAAAUAUCUUCCAAGGAUGCUCAAGUUUCCCGAAAAAAACCCUUAGAAAGGAGCUUCCUAUUAUCAACGCAAAAGUUGCUUUGUACAACUGUUAGAUAGAAUUAGUUAAUUACUGUUUUAUUAGUCAUUAGUUACUGUUGAGUUUUACUAUUAGUUUACUGUUGCUCUUCUAUUUUGACUAGGUCUCUAACAGUGUUUAGGCUUAGGAUUAUCUCCCCAUUUUGUGGAGUUAGCUUAGGAAAUAGUUAGACCAUCGUGUAUAUUUAUUUCCAUUUCAGCAAUAAGAAUCAAAUGUUCUUCUGCAGCUUAUCUUGUUCUUUAUGGUAUCAAGAGCCACAAUAAACUCUAACGAGUAAGAUCCUAUAUUUUUUUUCUCUCCCACCUCCACAAAUGGGCGACACUUCUCAAGUUGUCACCGCAGAUACAAACAUUGGAGUGACAAUCGUUCAAUUUAAUCCGGCUUCCCAAUUGCCUAUCAAAUUACUUGGCAGCCAAAACUUUUCAACGUGGAAGGCGCAAUUCUCGAUGCUUAUGCAUGGUCAUGAUCUAUAUGGCCAUCUCGAUGGGUCUGCUCCCUCCCCUUCUCGCACGAUCACUACUGGCACAGUCCCUAGUGCCAAUCCUGCAUUUUCUCUUUGGUUUCGCCAAGACCAACUUAUUCAAAACACCCUUAUGGCAUCUGUUGAUCCAACAAUUGCCACCACUGUUGCAACUGCUAAUACGGCAAAAACUGUCUGGGAUGCAUUGCACACAACCUAUCGAAUAAGUCCCAAACUCGCAUUUUAAGUUUGCGUGAUCGCCUUACGCGCCUGACGAAAGACUCCCAACCAGUCACCGAAUAUUUGCAACAUAUUCGCUCUAUUUCUGACGAACUUUCUACAGUUGGUGCCCCAAUUACCAACUCAGAACUUAUUGUUAAGAUCCUGAGUGGUUUGGGUCCAGAGUUCCGUUGAGAUCUCUGCUGCGAUUCGUGCUCAUGACUCCACUAUUUCUUAUGAAGAACUCUACGAAAAGCUAUUGGAUCAUGAGCUUUUCCUUCGCCAUGAAGUGUCCAAGCAUGCUCCCAACCAGAUUACUGAUGCCGCUGCUACAUCUAACAAGUCUGGUCAUUCCAAUUCUCGGAACACUCGUCGACCCAACAAUGGCAGCAACCAACAAUGGCGGUCCAACAAUCGCUCUACUACACCCAAUCAGUGUCGAUCUUCCACCACCACCAACUCUUAUGAUGGUGUUCGCUGCCAAUUGUGCAACAAACCAGGUCAUGUUGCAAGUGUGUGUAGAUCAAAAUCUCACAAUCAUUUUGAGGCAAAGGUCGACUAUGUUUCAGGAUUGCAGGCACCAGCAGAUUCUUGGAUUGUCGACUCUGGAGCAUCUCAUCAUAUCACUGUUGAACCUCACAACUUGCAGGCAUACAAUGGCAUGAAGCAUGUCUCUAUGAGUGAUGGUAACAAAAUUCCCAUAACUCACACUGGUUCUACUCAAUUACAUGCAUCGAAUAAUGCUUUCAAGCUUUCUAAUACUCUAUGUACACCUACCAUUAAGCGUAACUUACUUUCAGUUUCUAAAUUUUGUCAAGAUAAUCUAACUUCUGUUGAAUAUUUUCCUUUUCAUUUUUGUGUAAAGGACCUGAACACAGGGACUCCUUUGGUCCACGGUCGGAGUAGAGACGGUCUUUAUGAGUGGCCAACUUCACCUUCGGUGCCUUCCCCACAAGCACAUGCUGCCUCCUCCAAUUCGUCCUCCAUCAUCACUUGGCAUCGUAGAUUGGGUCAUCCACAUGCCAGAGUUUUGAAUUUUGUUUUAAAUAAAUUCUCGCUGCCUUGUACACGAGAAAAAAAUUCAGUUUGUAAUUCUUGUUCAUCAAAUAAAGCUCAUCGGCAUCCCUUUCAACAACUUACAUUGUCAAGUACAAAACCGUUUCAAACCAUUUUUAGUGAUUUGUGGGGCCCUUCUCCAGUGUUUAUCAAUUGAUAAAAAAUAUACUACUGCAUUUUUGUUGACCAAUUUACCAAAUACAUUUGGCUUUAUACCUUGAGCAAAAAAACUGAGGUUAAAGAACUUUUCAAAAACUUUCAAGUUUUAAUGGAACGUCAUUUCAAUACAAAAAUUCUCUCUUUAUACACUGAUGGUGGUGGAGAAUAUAAAAGUCUUCAUCCAUACCUAAAUUCUUCAAGGUAUUGAACAUCUUUUAGCUCCUCCAUACACCCCUCAACGAGUUGCUCUUGCCGAACGACGACAUAGACAUAUUAUUGAAACGGCAAGAACAUUACUCCAUGAAGCCUCACUUCCCCCGACCCUUUGGUCCUUUUCUUGUCAAUAUGCAAUUCACCUGAUCAAUCGCUUACCUACCUCCCUUUUGCAAAAUCAAUCACCUUUUCAAAUGUUAUUUGGUACAAAUCCAGAUUAUGCUCACUUAAAAAAUUUUGGGUGCUUGUGUUAUCCAUAAUUAUCAUUGUUAUCAAUGUUUUGAUCCAAAAUCUUCAAAAAUAUACUUGUCUCGUGAUGUCAAAUUUUUUGAAAGUAUUUUUCCUUUCCAGAAUAUGUUUUCAAAGCUUUCCUCAUGUUUCAGACAACUUGCCUGGGCAGACUUGGUUACAACUAACCAGGACAUCUCUCAUAUGAUUUCUCCUAUGCCUUGUACAGAUUUACCACCUCCUAUUAUUCUGACCAAUGCAGAUACCAUCCGGCACAUGCAUCAUAUUGUCUCAUCUGGCUGCGCUCCAACAGAGUCUGCGAUACCAAGUACUUUUCCUAUUUUUUCUCCUCCACUUUCUUCUCUUCCUGAUGCCCAAUCUUAUCCUCUGCCGUCCUCCAUUCCAUCAACUCAACUACCAUCAACAUCCCAUCCACCAUCGCCAAAACCUCAUAUUCGGUUCGUGUACUCUCGUCACUCCACUCCAGCGGCAACAACGAAAACCUCUGCCCCAACCUUGCCCGAACCACACCCUUCCCCUUUGCCUCCAAAUCGAGUCGUUACCCGCUCACAACACAAUAUCCAUAAACCAAAACCAAUUUUUGAUUACAUGGCUCACCUCCCACCUAUAUUCACUCCCAGCACCUUCAACCAAGCAAGCAAACACAUAGAGUGACAGAAUGCUAUGCAAGCUGAAUUUGAUACACUUCAUAAAAACCACACAUGGGAAUUAGUACCUCCUGAUCCGUCUAAAAAUGUCAUUGCUUGUAAAUGGUUGUACAGAAUAAAGCGAAAGGUUGAUGGUUCUAUUGAUCGUUAUAAAGCCAGAUUGGUCGCAAAGGGAUUUACCCAACGUCCCGGUGUUGAUUUUCAUGACAUGUUUAGCCCAGUAGUCAAACCAACUACUAUUCAUGUGGUCCUCUCCAUUGCGAUCAAAUUUGAUUAGCCUCUGCGUCAACUUGACAUUAGUAAUGCAUUUCUUCAAGGACGUUUGGAUGAAGAGGUUUAUAUGGAACAACCUCGGGGAUUUGAAGACAAGACUUGUCCAACCCAUAUUUGUCGUCUUCAUAAAGCUAUUUAUGGACUCAAACAAGCUCCUCGAGCAUGGUACAAUGAACUCAAGAAUCAUUUGCUCCUGUUAGGCUUCAUAAAAUCUGAGUCGGACAGCUCCCUCUUUGUUCGUCAUCAUUCUCAUGCCACAGUGUACCUACUGGUAUAUCUGGAUGACAUUAUUGUUACUGGCAACAAUACUUCAGUUGUUAAUCAAGUUAUUUCUUCCCUUGCAGCUAGAUUUUCUGUUAAAGAUCUUGAAGCUCUCACCUACUUUUUAGGUAUUUAAGUCAUUAGAAUUGUGGAUGGUAUUAUUAUGUCUCAAAGUACCUAUACACGUGAUAUAUUGCGUGAGGAGAACAUGGCUGAUUGCAAACCUGCUAAAACUCCAAUGAGUACUACUGAAGUACUCAAGGUCAAUGAUGGCGGAUUAUUAGCUGAUGCAACCAGAUACAUGAGGGUGAUAGGGAAGCUCCAAUAUUUGUCUUUCACUCGUCCAGACAUUUGUUUUGCAGUAAACAAAUUGUCACAAUUUAUGCAAACUCCCUCCGAGAUCUACUGGAAAGCUGUCAAACGGGUACUAAGGUAUCUUCAAGGGAUUGCUCAUCUUGGCUUACGGUUGAUGCGCCAUAAUGAUUUCUCUUUACAUAUGUACUCUGAUGCGGAUUUGAUUGGAGACGUCAAUGAUCGAGCUUCUACUACUGGAUACCUUCUGUUUAUUGGCCAAAAUCCUGUGAGUUGGUCCUCCAAAAAGCAAAGAACGAUUGCUCGUUCUUCCACUGAAGCUGAAUAUCGAGCAGUUGCAAGUGCUCUUGCAGAAACAAACUGGGUCACAUAUCUUCUCGUAGAACUGCGACUUAGAUUUCAAAAAGUCCCAACUAUCUACUGUGACAAUGUUGGUGCGACGUAUUUAUGUGCAAAUCCUGUUUUUCACAGUCGCAUGAAACACAUUGCGGUGGAUUUCCAUUUUGUGCGCAAUCAGGUUCAGCUCAAGCAAGUUCAAGUUGUCCAUAUCCAAUCCUCAGACCAACUUGCAGAUACUCCAACGAAAGCCCUUUCCAAAUCAGCCUUCGACGGACACAUGUUCAAGCUAGGUGUUGUUGCACACUGCCUACCUUGAAGGGGGCGUAUCAACGCAUAAGUUGCUUUGUACAGCUGUUAGAUAAAAUUAGUUAAUUACUGUUUUAUUAGUCAUUAGUUACUGUUGAGUUUUACUAUUAGUUUACUGCUGCUCUUCUAUUUUGACUAGGUCUCUAACAGUGUUUAGGCUUAGGAUUAUCUCCCCAUUUUGUGGAGUUAGCUUAGGAAAUAGUUAGACCAUCGUGUAUAUUUAUUUCCAUUUCAGCAAUAAGAAUCAAAUGUUCUUCUACAGCUUAUCUUGUUUCUUUACCUAUAUGGUGGUGGUCAUUGCUGCUAAGCUAUCAACUUGUUUGUUCUGUUCUCAGUAGAUAUGGAUCACCUUUGAAAUACUCAGCCUCCGGAAGAGGCACCUGCAAUUAUCCAAAAUUGAAGAGUUGUGCAAGUUAGUGGUAGAAAGUGACUUAACUCUUUCCUGAGCAUCAAUAUUAACUUGCAGGGGCUGUAAAUUAUGCAGAAAAGUUAUAGUCAAUCCAUGUAAGGGAGCAAGUAAUUCAGCUUAGAAAUCAUUUUUGUAAUUGAAAUCAAAGAAGUAAAUCCUAAAAUCUAUCCUCCGCUCCUAUCCCUAAAUACUCCCGUUCCUACAAAAUUCAUGUUAUUGUCCACCCUUGCACCUUUAUUGAGCAUGUAAAUAGUUUCCUGGGGUGGUUCCUAUGUCACAGACAGGAAUUUUAGUGUGUCUUUGCUUGGUUGUACCUGCAAGCAUCCAAUAUUCACAUGGUAGAUAUUUAACAGCACAAUAAUUAAUGAUUAGUGGUUUUUGUUCAAAAAUGAAUUGGUUACUUUGUGUCCAAAUGAACCAUAGAUAGAAUGGUAGGAAAACUCUGUAGGGAACAUAUUCAAGGAACUUCUUAGGGCAGAGAUUGAUAAGUUUAUGCAGCCAUUGAGAUAGCUCAGGAUUAAUGGUUUCAGCAUUAGUAGUGUCACUUUGAAGCAGUUCAAAAAAAGAUGACUAAUGGUUUCAGCAUUAGUAGUGUCACAUUUUGCAAUAGAGUGAUGGAAUACAUGUCAUAUGAUGUAAAAAAUUGAGAGUAGGCAGCAGGUAACGAAGUAAAGUUUCACUUGAAAUGACAUAAGACGAGGAUUUUCAUCUCACUUGGUGAUACAUAACCAUUGUACCUAGUUCUGAGUUCAACUUACAUACAAUUUACCACUCUACUAAGAAACAAGAUAAAAGUUUAUAUUAUCAACAAAAGAUUUUGUGAAAUGUUCUACCCUCUCUAUAAAAUUCUCUCUCUAAAAUCUGAACUCUCAUCGGUACUAUAACGGCAACUUACUGCUGCUAUGGCAGCUGAGCCACUGGUAACUCAUCUCCGACCACCGGACAAAAUCCUCGAGGGACACACAGUACAAACAAUAUCAAUCCAACAACAAACUCCCUCAAGUCCAGUUUACGCCAUUGAGAGAUCGGGUAUCAACAAUGAGAGUAGGAGGUCGAUUUCGAAUGAACAAUGGUGUAAAAUUCAAGAGAUUAUUACGUAGGUUAAUGCUGAUUCCAUUCGGAUUGUUUUAACAAAUGGAGAAAAACCAAACUUAAAUGUAAUCAAAGAUUCAAAUCUCACAAAUGGGGGAAACUCCAAUUCCAGGAAUGGUGACCUGGAGAAAACAACAAAUAAUUAUUUGGGGAGGAGUAAUCCAAAUCAAAGUGACAAGGAGAACUCUGAUCCGAAACAAAAUGUUAGGUUACGUAGAGGGGAUGAUGAAGUAAUAAUGUGCAUAAAUACUUCCCAACUGGUGAAUGUGGCUGACAACGAUGAUAAUCAAAACUAUGAGGAAACUCCGGAGCACGGAAAUCAGAGUCAAGCUCAACACCAAACCAAACUUAUAGGGACAAUCAGUGUCUCAGAUUCAAAGAUUGAGGAAGAAAAUAACUUGAAGGCUUCAUCAGAGGAUCACACUGGUAAGCUUACUAAUGCUCAAUCUUCUAACAAUAUGUCUACUAAGGAUAAGGAUAUUGCUGGUCCUAGUAAAGCCGUGCAUAACCAUGGGAGUGAACAUGGUAGGAAGGAAGAUAAGGGAAAAGACAAGGUCGUAGAGAAAACCAAUCAUAAACCUUCUGUCCCUAACAACAACACCCUCCAAGUAUCCAACAACUUCAAGCCUUUCAAGCCUAACAAUAACCCGUCAAAAAAGGUAGACACAAAAAGAACUAAUGACAAUCAUCAGCCAGCACACAAAGGUCCCAUACAACCUAAACAAAAAGCUACUGUGAAUCCUGCACCACCUCAUCCUAAUAUCCCUCAUUCCAUGACUACCAAACUUUUUUUUAUGACAAGGGAAACCCGCAGCCGCUACCCUUUGGGUGCGCACAGGGUAAAACCCCCACUCCUAUGCAAUAGAUCGCAAACCACAUAGGAGAGGUAACCCGCACUAGGCAAGCCCGGUGCGACAAGCUCGACCCAAAAGGCAAACCCCUUGCUUUCGCUGGCAAGGGGUUUCGAACUUGAGACCUCCAACAUGGAAGCCCCAAGUCCAAACCACUGGGCCACCCCGAAGGGUUCGAUGACUACCAAACUUAGAGCCCAGGAUGCCCAAAAAAUCAUUCCCAUAACAAUCAACCCCCCCCCCCUCAUAAUUACUACCAAACAAGGAGACCCUGCAGUUGUGUUUAAAAGAGAGGACUUUAUGGUUAAGUUGGCGGAAAGAUGCAAAUAUGCGAUAAGUUCAUCAAUACCAUGCCUAAGAUGGAAACCAUCAAGGAACAAUUUAUUCUGCAAACUGAAUUGAAAGGAGGAGUGAAGUUAACUCAUUACAAUCCUAAACAUCUAUAUAUUAAUCUUAACAAUGAGUAUGAUCAUGCUACUGUGUUAUCCAAGGCUAAAAUGUAUGUUGAAAGUCAGCUGAUGAGAUUUUUAGUAUGGACUCCUACCUUCAAACCUGAAGAAGAAACUCAUUUGGCACCUGUUUGGGUGAUCCUGGGUGAAGUUCCUUGGCACUGCUACUGCGCAGAGGUCCUUAAUCCUCUUCUAUCAACUAUAGGUAAGGCACUUUUUCUAGACUUGGCUACUCAUAAAAGACUAGAGGUAGUGUCGCCAAAGUUAAAGUUCAAGUGGAUCUUACAAAGGAAAGACCUCAACAUGUUUGAAUAGGAUAUGAUGAAGAUGAGAAUGGUGAAAGAAAAUGGUUAUCCAUUCAAUAUGAGGGGGUACAUGACUACUGUAAUUAUUGCAAACAUCAUGGACGUGAUUAUAAUGCUUGUGAGGUCAAAGGAAGGGAUGAAGAGGCUAAAAGAGUAAAAGAACAAGAAGAAAAGAUGAACAACAAAAACAGUGAGGAUGAUCAGGCUAACAAGAGCAUCAAGGAACAACCCCUUGAACAGAGAGAACACAACAAGAAGAUGGAUGAAGAGACUCGAACUCAAGAGCAAUGGCAAACUCAAAAAAGGAAAGGAUGGAAAAACAACCAACAAACUCAACAAACACAGAAGACACAACAAGCUCAACAAUACAACAGAGAUUAAGACAACAAGAAGAAGGUUUAUAGAGCUAGAUCACCUCAAAGUCCAAAAUUUGCUAAUCAGCAUAUUCCACAACACCAACAGGCAGGUAUGACUACUGAACUCAGAGUUCAAAAUCCAAAUUGUAAUGCUGACUCUGGAGUCCAGAAUCAAUAAAUCCUCCCCCCCCCCCCACAUAAUUCUAUGAACCAAACAGGUACAAAAAAGAAUGACAACACAAAGGAUAAUACUGAGAGUUUUCCAGGAAAAGCUGAUGAUGGACAAAACCAACAAAAUGCAGGUAUCGACUCAAUGCUCCACCAACCCCACCCCAAUUACCUAUAUAUCUGACUUGUCUGAUAAAGAAGUUAUGGUAGGUAUGGAUGGAGGGAUUCAGGAGGAAACUACUAAUCGGCAGGAAGGGGUGUCCAAAGGGAGGGAAUUGUCUCAUGUUAUGCAUGAGAAUUUGAUUGACCCUAAGACUGACCCUAGAGCUCCUGCUACCUCUAAGAAUGCAGAUAUCCAGUCUCAAUUACAAGAACAAACUGCUAAUAUCAUUGGUAUUGAAAAGGCUACUAAAGAUGAUAUGCUUGAUACUAAAAAAAGAGAUGAAGAUAUGGUACAUAUUGAUGAUAUUGAAGGUACACCUUCUGAAGAUCCCACUAUAUCUACCAGUGUGAAUGUCCCUAAGUAGUCAAGUAUGCAACAAAGAUCAACCUACCAACCAAAUCAAAAUGAUGGUUCAAAACAGUAGAGACAGGGAGAAAGUCCCCAAAUUCUCAACAAUAAAUCUACCCUGGCUCUCAGUAAGAAAAAGAGAGAUGCUAUAAAGAUGAAACAAGCAAUGGAAGGAAAAAGAAAUGCUGAAAUGCAUCAAUGUGGACUAUGAGUUCGUAAAGGAGCAAGUAGGUAGCCAUGCAGUUCCCCUCUAGACCAAAGAUAAUCCCUGUGGAUUGUGAUAGUAAUACAACUGAGGACAAUAAUGAUGAUUAUAAGGUGGUCAAUUAUGAUGAAGAGUAUGAUCCUGAUCAAUUGGAAGAACAGGAAGAUGAUGAUGAAACUAGUGCUCAUCUACUGAAACCCUUUGGAUCCACCAUGAAUUCUGACUGUCAGGAUAAAAUUCAACAAGUAACUCAGAAGGCAGGUUUAUCACCUAGAGGUCAAAAGGAGAAGAAAAAGAAAAAAAUAUAAAAUAUUAUCAGCAAUUCUGCUAAUACAAUUACUGCCAAGAGUAACAUCAACACCAGGUCCAAAACCCAAAAACUUUGAUGAUUAGUACAAUUAGCUGGAAUGCUAGGAGUAUUAGCACUCAAGGAGCUUUGGAUAGACUCCAAAAACUCAAGGAUUACUACAAUCUCUCUAUGAUUGCAAUUCUUGAACCCAAAACCAACAAACAUCAGCUCAACUAUUAUAAAAAUCAUCUUAGGAUGGAUAAUGCUACUUCCUAUUCCAACAGUAAGAUCUGGUUAUUUUGGAACCAAGAUGUUGAUUGUACAAUUUUGGAUCAAGAUGAACAACAGGUUACUUGUGAAGCUAAGCAUGUAGCUUGGCAGACUUCUUACCGCCUCACUUUGUCUAUGCUAAAUGUAAAAAUCAUAUGAGAAGAGACCUAUGGGACAAGAUGCUUCAAUUUUCUAGAUUGGACAAACCUUGGUGUACUAUAGGAGAUUUCAAUGUGAUCACUGAUAUUGAUGAGAAGAUGGGAGGACUACCUUACAACAUGGAUAAAAGUUUUGAAUUCAUCAGUGUUAUUGAAGCAUGUGGACUAACUUACUUGGGAUUCCAUGGACAGAAAUUCGCUUGGUGUAAUCACAGAGAUGAUGAAGAUAGAAUUUGGAAGAGAUUGGACAGAGCUAUGGUCAAUGAUAAAUGUGUUGGAAAUAGAUACACUCAUUGAUGGGUUGACUAGUAACUUGCUUCAUUCAUGAAGUAAGUUACAACUCCACUAAAUAACUCCAUAUAGUAAAAGAAGAAGAGUUAUGUAUUCUUGAAUGGAGUGGGAGUUAUAGGAUAAGGGGUGAUGUAACUCUUGAAUGAAUAAGAGUUACAAGUCCUAACCCUGUCCUAUAAAAGGGAGGACUUGGGGUCAUCCAAGAACAACACAAACAACACAAGAAAAGAGUUCCUUAGAUAAAGAGUGUAGUUGUUGUGAAAAACAAUACAAGACUCCAUAGUGAUCUUGUAAGAAACCGCUAAGGCAAUUGGUGGUGAUAGCACUUGAUCCUAUAACAAGAAGGUAUGUAUAAUUCCGCACAAAUCUCCGAGUUUAAAUCCUUCAUUGGUAUCAGAGAAAGGUUUGUUAGAUGUGAUUAUAUUUUCACCAUUGCAUCAUAAAAAUUUAGUAAUAAGCAGAUUUUCGAAUCUAUUACAUUUCGAAAAAGUUUUUCAUUUUUUUAUAAACGUACUGACUUUCGGCAAAGUUAUCUCCUACAGUGGACUGGCAAACUGAACAAGCCAUAUAUUAAUGGAAAGAUAUUUUUGAUAGCUUUCCAUCGAUAUAUUAUUUGUAAAAUUUCGAUAUCGGAUGAAGGAGAUAUGGGUGUUGAAAGUUGGCUGCCAAAGAAAAUAAAAAAUGGACUGCUGGAAAUUUCAGCAAGACUGCCCAACUUUCAAGCUCAUUUUCUGCCCCUUCAUGUUUUCUAAUGUGUGCAAGACAUAUCACUGGAAAGAUACUUUCAAAACCUUUCCAACGAUAUAUAAUUUGUCAUUUUUUGACAUCGAAUAAAUGAAACAUGAGUGCUGAAAGUUCACUGUUUGAAAACAUAAUUUGGAAAUUUUUUUAAUUCUAAAAGUUUUCUAGGAAAAUUUCAAUUAAAAUAAAUAAAUAAAUAAUCCAUGAUUAUGGUUUAUGUCAUUUGUUUGAGACAUGUAUAUUGAACAAUUUAUAAAUUUAUAUAUAUAUUGAGUGGGAGUUCUUAUUGAUAGACAAUUUUUCUUAUUUAGAACUAUCAUAAUUUAUUAGCGCACAAUUGAUUUAAAAAUAAUAUUGGUAUGCUUAAGGUUACAUGUGAUGAAAGUAAGACAAACGUAGACUUUUGAACAUGGGCUUCUAGCUGGACAAUAUUAAUUUAGAUGCAAUUUUGCAGCAAAUAAAAAGAAAUUGUGUUUGGUGCUUAUUUGUGCUAUGUCUUCUAUGUGCGUACAUAAGUUUAUAAAAUGGCUUCAAAGACUAUUAUUGCUGAAUUGAAUAAGGGUGAAAAAUUAAAUGGUGAUAAUUAUGAUAUUUGGCACCGUAAGAUUCAAUACAUUCUUGAAGAGCAAGAGGUUUUGGAGACCCUAAACCAUGUGAUGGUUGAGCCGGCGGGUGAAGACACCCAACAACAUGAGAGAAAUCUUGAGACUUUUCAAGUCUGGAAGAAGAAAAAUAGUAUUGCUCGCAUAACGUUGCUGAGUAGUAUGGUUGAUGAUCUUAUGUGUGAGUUCGAAUCUUAUCCAACGGCUCAAGCCAUGUGGAUAGCACUGAAAGAUAAGUUUGGUGGCACUUCUGCUACAAAACUUAGGAGGUUGACCAUUAAGUUUGACACCUAUAGACUGCGCCCUAAUUCAUCGAUAAGGCAGCAUUUAAGAGAGAUGUCAAAUAUGAUACGAGAACUAAAAUCAGUUGGUCAUAAUCUUUCUGAUGAACAACAAGUGCAAGCUGUUAUAAGAUCUCUUCCUGCUAGUUGGGAAUAUAUGAAAAUUCAUAUGACCCACAAUGAAAGCAUCAAGUCUUUUGAAGACAUUGAGCACCAUCUUGUUCUUGAAGAUGAGUGUCGUGACGCUUCUAAAGCAACUGAUCAAGCUUUUCUAGCUGAAUCUCCUGGGACUUCUAAUCCUAAGCAAAAUAACAAGAACAAGAAAGCAUGGAAGAAAAAGGGGUCUGAUAAGUCAAAUCAGAAGGAUAAAUCUCAAUUUAAGAAGAGAGGAAAACGUGGUGCUAAGAAGAUUGAUAUGGCCAAAGUGGAGUGUUAUUCUUGUCACAAGAUGGGUCAUUUUGCGCGGGAUUGCCCAGAGCAAAAUAAGGUAACAUCAUGCACUAAAACUCCACAUUUUGCUUAUGUCUCUAGUACUGCAUUAAUGGCAGAUACUAAUACUUUGUGACUGUUGACUCAGGAGCCACAUACCACAUAGCUAGAGACAGAGGAUCAUUUCUUGAAUACCGCCGACUGCCUUCCGGGAGCAGAUGGCAUUAUGUCGGAAACAAUGCAUCAAUAGAAGUGAAAGGGAUCGGAACAUUCAAACUAGAGUUGCAAGGUGGACGAAUCCUUCUCCUACAUGAUGUCUUAUAUGUUCCAGACAUUCGGCGGAAUUUAGUUUCAGUUGUUUCUCUUCUUAAAUUAAAUUUCAGUGUGAAUUUUCACAAUAAUUCUGUUGACAUUAUUUAUGGCACUGAAUAUUAUGGUUCUGGUUACCUUUUUGAUGGUUUUAUUGUGUUGGACACAAUUUGUGGUUUUAAUUAUAUAUCUAAUAAUCAUGGUUGUUUUGCUUUAACAACAACUCCAAUUUUAGAUAUAAAUAUUUGGCAAGCUAGACUUGGAUAUAUAGGCCUUGAAAGAAUGAAUAGAUUGGCAAAAGAAGGAUUAUUGGGGUCCUUAACUAAAAUUGAAAUGUCAAUAUGUGAAUAUUGUCUAGCAGGAAAAACGACUAGAAAACCAUUUGGAAAGGGAACUAGAGCUGAGUUUCCAUUGCAACUUAUCCAUUCAGAUAUAUGUGGUCCUAUGAGUGUGAGGGCGAGGCAUGGAGCCUCAUAUUUCAUCACAUUUAUAGAUGAUUAUACUCGUCAUGGUCAUGUUUAUUUGAUCUCCCAUAAGUCAGAAGCAUUGGAAUGCUUUAGACAAUUUAUGAAUUUGGUGGAGAGUCAAUUUAACUUAAGAAUAAAAGCUUUAAGAACUGAUUGUGGGCGUGAGAAUCUAUCAGAUCAAUUUAAGGAUCUAUGUGAUGAAAAAGGAAUUGUAAGACAAUUAACAAUUCCAUACACUCCUAAACAAAAUGGAGUAGUUGAGCGAAGAAAUAGAACUUUGCUUGAAAUGGUUAGGUCUAUGAUGGCGCAGGCUAACUUGCCAAUUUCCUUUUGGGGAGACGCAUUGAUGUCAGCAACUUUUGUGCUUAACUGUGUGCCCUCUAAGUCUAUUGCUUCCACACCCUAUGAAUUAUGGACGGGUAGAAAACCUGACUUAAAUAUAUUGCGACCCUGGGGUCUGCCGCAUACGUGCAUGAUUCUUCCCAUAAAUAUGAGAAGUUAGGCCCUAGGGGCAAGAAAUGCAUCUUCAUUGGCUAUUCAAAGCAAUCAAAGGGUUAUAUCUUCAUAGGAGAAAAUGAAGAUGGAAGUAUAACAGAGCUUGAGUCACGAGAUGCCACAUUUUUAGAGAUUGAAUUUCCUAGUAAAGGUGAUAUUGAUAGAACUUUGUCAUUUUAUGAAGUUGUGGAUCAUCAAGAAAAUCUUCAAGAACAAAGAAGUGAGGAACAAGAAAUUGUACUUUCUCUUGUUGAUCCAAGUGGGAGAAUUACUCAUUUAGAGCAUAUUCCACAAGAGACACAUGUGCGGAAGAGUACACGAGGAACUAUACACCGACGUCAAUUUCAUAUCGAAGGGAAAGCAUUAAUAGUUACUCCGCAAGAUGAUGAAGAGCCUAAUUCAGUUCAAGAGACUUUUUCAGGCCCUACUAAGGAUAAGUGGAUAGAAGCAAUGAAAGAGGAAAUGGAGUCCAUGAGGAAAAAUCAUGUUUGGGAUUUGUUUGAUCUUUCGCCAAGUCGAAAGACAAUUGGGAAUAAAUGGGUUCUCAAAAUUAAAAGAAACGCGGAUGGUGUGAUUGAACGCUACAAAGCUCGUUUGGUGGCUAAGGGGUACACACAAUAAGAGGGCAUUGAUUAUGAAAAUACUUUCUCUCCAGUUGUGAGAUUUAGCUCUAUUAGACUGAUUCUAGCUAUAGUUGCAAGUAUGAACUUGGAGUUACAUCAAAUGAAUGUAAAGACUGCAUUUCUCAAUGGGGAACUAGAUGAAGAAAUUUAUAUAGAACAACCAUUAGGUUUUAUCCAAAAUGGUCAAGAGCGCAAAGUUUGCAAGCUCAAAAGGUCUAUUUAUGGACUUAAACAAUCAUCUAGACAAUGGUACUUAAGAUUUCAUCGCGUUAUUACGUCUUACAACUUUAAUAUGAUCGAUGAAGACCAUUGUGUGUAUAUGAAGCGGUCUGAAACUGAAUUUGUGAUAUUGUCCCUUUAUGUGGAUGACAUACUAUUAGCUGGAAAUAGUCUUACUUUUGUAAAGGCUAUAAAGAGUUGGCUGUCCCUAAAUUUUGAAAUGAAGGACAUGGGAGAAGAAGAAUUCAUCCUUGGAGUUAAAAUUCAUAGAGAUCGCUCUAAAAAUUUAGUAACUUUAUCACAAGAAUCAUACAUUGAAAAAAUUCUUGAACCAUUCAGGAUGAGAGACUGUAAAUCAAUAAACACCCCUGUAGCUAAAGGUGAAAAUUUAAGCCUUGAAACAUGUCCCAAAACUCAAAGUGAAAAAGAUGCCAUGAAGAGGGUCCCAUAUUCAAGUGCAAUUGGGAGUUUAAUGUAUGCAAUGUUGUGUACACGUCCCGAUAUUUGUUAUGCAGUGGGUCUUGUUAGUCGUUAUCAAUCCAAUCCAGGACAAACACAUUGGAAAGUUGUUAAGAGAAUCUUGAGAUACUUAAGGGGCACUGUUGAUUACAAAUUAUGUUAUCAAGGAAGUGACUACAGUUGGUGGGCUACUCUGAUGUUGAUUGGGGUCGAGACUUGGAUGAAAGAAAGUCCACUUCUGGUUAUGUUUUUUUGCUUAACAAUGGUACCAUUUCAUGGAGUAGCAAGAAACAAACAUGUAUACCUUUAUCAACUAUGGAAGCAGAGUUCAUUGCAUGCUCUACAGCAGUACAAGAAACUGUAUGGCUAAAAACGUUCAUGGAACACUUAGGGAUCAUUGGCAGGCCAAUGGAUGCGGUGCAAAUUUUUUGUGAUAGCCAAGCAGCAAUGGCAUAUACUUAAUCAUAGUAAGACGAAGCACAUAGAUACAAAGUAUAAUUUUGUUAGAGACAUCAUAGCACGUAAGGAAAUCACUUUACAUUACAUUUCUACGCACAAGAUGGUAGCGGAUCCCUUAACAAAGCCAAUACCUAGAGAUGUCUUUGGUAAACAUGUGAAAUCUCUAGGCUUGUGUGGGAUGUAAAAUGAUAUAUUUCCUUAUUUGAACAUCUUGAUAAUAAUGUAUGGAUAUCUUUUUGAUGUUUUUUAUGGUUAUUUCAUACAUUAUUAUUGAUUAGCACGUUCACAAUAUUAGAGUAUGUCGUACAAGUUGAUAAGGUUGGCUUUCUCACAUGAGCAACCGCCUUGGGCGCUUAUGGAAAGCGAGCCAAGAUGAGACAUUUGUGUUUCUUAACGCUAAAAAAGGAUAGCUAAUAUAUGUGGCACCUUCGAUUAACAACAUAUUAUUUAAAGUCACCCUAGUAAAAGACUAGGAUGAGAUCCAAGAGAAAUGUCAAAAAGGAUCGAAAUUAUAGAUUCCCACUACCCAUAAUACUUGUAGCCAGAUGUGAGAUCUCCUCUAAAAGUACAAUAGAGUGGUAGAACUCAGGUCAAGUAAAUGAUUUACUUGGACCAAGAUUUGUAUAGUGUGAAAAAAAUGAAAAAAAUGAAAAUCGACAUACACUCUGAUGGAAUCAGAGGCGCACUGUAACAUGCAUUUCAUACUGCAUGUGCUUCAUUACUGCAAAUUAAAAGUUAAGUGAAUACACCCUACUUCACUUUUAUGUGAGACCUUGAAAAGUUUCUUUCUCACUAGUGCCCUUAUGACUUUGACAAUAUCAUGAGGUGAUGGGUUAGUGUAUGCUACUUUAGUAUGAAUCUAAAGGUUAUGAAAAUACGACCUGAAGGAGUAAUGCUAGGAAAGCAAUUAAUCCUGAUCUUAGUGAUAUGUGGGCAAAAGGAAGAUCAUGUCAAAUAUAUACACAUUAAGCUUGUGUCUGAGACCGGUCCAUUAUGAAACCUAUUUUAGUUAGCAUCAUAAGUGUGGACACAAGGCAUAUGAAAAUUGAAAAUGGAAAGAGGGUUAAAAGAAGCCAUAUGUGUAUACAGACAUGUCUGGGGAAUCUACGGCACUUUAUAUGACAUGAUAGUAUAUCAUAAAUGAUCAUAAAAGGGUGGUAGUCUCUUAUGCUGAUCUAGAAAAAAAAAUCUAGUGUAAGAGCUCCCAAACUUAGGGCCCGUUUGGCCAUGCGAUAUGGUAUCAUGAUAUGAAAUUAUGAGAUGAAAUUGAAGGUUUGUUUGGACAUGCGAUAUGAAAUUUUUGUGUUGUAUAUUUUCUCAUAAACAUAAAAAUCUCAUAAGUUGUAAAACUAUUAAAAUAGCCUCAAUUGUUUAUUCAAUCUUAUCAAAUAAACAAAAAAUUAUAAAAUCGCAUAAUAAAUUAUUACAAAGUUAUUUGUUCUCCACUUAAGUAAUUGUUUCAUCUAACUUUAAUUUAAUAAAAAAAUUGAACAUAAAUUGUAGUGUACUAGUCUUUAAUAUAAUCCUCCCACAUAGUAAAAACAAUUUCGUCACAUUGAACUUGCAUUUCUCGAUCAUGUGACNNNNNNNNNNNNNNNNNNNNNNNNNNNNNNNNNNNNNNNNNNNNNNNNNNNNNNNNNNNNNNNNNNNNNNNNNNNNNNNNNNNNNNNNNNNNNNNNNNNNNNNNNNNNNNNNNNNNNNNNNNNNNNNNNNNNNNNNNNNNNNNNNNNNNNNNNNNNNNNNNNNNNNNNNNNNNNNNNNNNNNNNNNNNNNNNNNNNNNNNNNNNNNNNNNNNNNNNNNNNNNNNNNNNNNNNNNNNNNNNNNNNNNNNNNNNNNNNNNNNNNNNNNNNNNNNNNNNNNNNNNNNNNNNNNNNNNNNNNNNNNNNNNNNCAUCAACAACAUAAUAUUUAUCUACCAAAAAAUAUUUUAUAAAGAAUUACUAAAAGCAUAUGUGACGUAAAUGAGACAACUUUGUGUAAAUAAAUAAUAUUUAUUCUAAGGAUGUAAUUUAAAGUUACCAUGUGGCGAAAAUGGAAAUUGUGAUGUUGGUUCAACAAGUGCAUUCUCAAGUACUUUACUAUCAUGUGCAAUACCUUCCCAACUAGCAGCAGCAAAGGUAAAUCGCAUAUCAAAAUCACAAGUACAUAAGACAUUUUGUGAUGUUCUUCCUUUGCGAUUACGAUAUGCUUGUUGCACCGCUUUAGGAACCUCCCCUUCUAUAUAUGUUCCAUCAAUCGCACCAACACAAUCCUAUCAAAUAAAAAAUACAUCAAUAUUAGUUUAGUGAAUAUAAAAUAAAUUGGAAGCAUUAUAGAAUGCACUUUCAUAAAAAUAAUGUUUGUAAGAGUAAUAAAAAUAGUGCUUCCAAGACAAUGCAAAGUCAUAAAAUAAAUAUUAUCUCUUUAAACAAAGUUGUAGAAAAUAUGUAACUAAAUACUAAUAACUUACACAUAAAAUAUAAAUGUUCACUUAUUAAGGCCAUAAAAUAAAUUUAUUAAUGUGAUUGAAAUUUUACCUUAAACCAAGGCCAAAAUCGAAUAUUAUGUCUAAUUUUGGAAUGUACGCCAGUCAUAUUUUUUGGUUGUAUGAAUGUUCGUGCCAUCUUGCUAAUUGCCUCGGCAACUAUUUUAACAUGCCGGUUAAUUGUUUCAAGUGAAUGUUGAAAAGUUUCACAAUCGUGAGGUGUUAGUUAAAGUGACUAUAUGUUGGUGAGAAUAAUAAAUUUUAUAUCGGUGAGAAUAAUAAAUUUUAAAAAGUAAUGAUGUGAUUAUAAAUUUUAUUUACAUAUGAAACAAAUGGUUAGUAGAUAUAAAUGUGGGCUGUUUUAACAAAAUAUAAACUCAUGGAACAAUUAUUGUAUUAAAAUAUCUCAAAUCAUGAUAUGGAAUCACCAUAUAAUUUCAUAUCAUGGUUUUUGGAGAAUAUGGUAUCACCUCUCAUGAUAUGGAAUCAUGAGAUGGAAUCAGCGUAAAAUCGCAUGUCCAAACGCUGAUUCCAUCUCACGAUACCAUAUCGUGAUAUGGUAUCGCAUGGUCAAACGCCUACUUAGUGUCUGAGCGGUCACGACAAUACACUCGGUAUGAAUGUCUAAAGGAAUUUAUUUUUCAAAUUAAAGCCCUAUGUGUUUCAUCCCAUCAUGUGUGAGUGGGAGAUGUUGGAAAUAGAUACACUCAUUGAUGGUUGACUAGUAACUUGCUUCAUUCAUGAAGUAAGUUACAACUCCACUAAAUAACUCCAUAUAGUAAAAGAAGAAGAGUUAUGUAUUCUUGAAUGGAGUGGGAGUUAUAGGGUAAGGGGGGAUGUAACUCUUGAAUGAAUAAGAGUGACAAGUCCUACCUUGUCCUAUAAAAGGGAGGGAACUUGGGGUCAUCCAAGAAACAACAACAAACAACACAAGAAAAGAGUUCCUUAGAUAAAGAGUGUAGUUGUUGUGAAAAACAAUACAAGACUCCAUAGUGAUCUUGUAAGAAACCGCUUAGGCAAUUGGUGGUGAUAGCACUUGAUCCUAUAACAAGAAGGUAUGUAUAAUUCCGCAUAAAUCUCCGAGUUUAAAUCCUUCAAAAUGGAUAGAGGUGAUGCCUAUGUCUAAAAUCACUCACUUAGCCUCAACUGGUUCUGACCACUGUCCCCUGCUUCUGGAAAGUGUUGACAGAAAUACCAAUACUAUCAAAUACUACAAAUUCCUACAUUUUUGGGUGGAUAAUCCAAAGUUUCUAGAUAUUGUGUAAGCUUGCUGGGAAAGACCAGUUGACGGUAAUCCUAUGAGAAUUUUUCAGCUAAAAUUGAAAAGAGUGCCAAUACUCUUAGCAACUAGUCUAGACAGGAAUAUGGAGAUAUUUUUAACAGUGUUAAGGAGUAUGAGGAGAAGGUUAAAAGUGUUGAAGCAGAUAUCAUCAAUGACAACAAUGAGUAAAAUAGAACCAAGCUCAAUAGAUUAAUGCUCAAUGCAUCAGAUACUUAAAAAUUGAGCAAUCCACUCUCAAACAGAGAUGCAAACUCCAAGUAUAUCCAUGCUAUUAUCAGAGGCAGGAGAAGUAAGUCGUUUAUCCACAAAAUCAGUGAUGAUCAUGGUAAUACUAUCAAGGGGGAUGAGAAUAUUGCAAGGGCUGCAUGUUGUCGUUUUGAGAAAAUCUUUACAGGGGAAGAUAACCUGAUCAAUGAGGAAGUCCUUAGAUGCAUUCCUAGCAUGAUCACUGAGUAUCAAAACCAAAAACUCCAGGCCAUGCCAACAAAAGAGUAACUGAAACAGGCUGUCUGGUCAAUGAGUGCUAAUUCUGUAGCUGGUCCGGAUGGAAUAAGUGGCAUGUUUUCCAUUCCUGCUGGGAUAUCAUCAGUGAUGAUCUCUUUAACAUGAUGCAGCUAUUUUUUUGUGGCCACAGUAUUCCUAAAUUUAUUUCUCAUGCUUACCUAGUGUUACUCCCAAAAGUGAAUCAUCCUAAUAAGUUUUCUUAAUUCAGACCUAUCUUCCACAGUAAUUUUACCAACAAGGUUUUUUUUUUUGAUAACCGAGAAAUCCAUCUGACCCGCCCUUUGGACCAAUCACAGCCUUCUAAAGUCGGUAGAUAAUGGGCCCACCCCUCUACCCUUCUCCACUUAAAUACCAGGCUUUGCUUUGCAUGAUGUGAGGCUUGAACCUGCGACCUAAGCCACAGAUCCUCCACCUUUUGCCACUCGAGCUAGGCCUUGGGGGCACCAACAAGGUUAUUUCCAAGCUGCUAUAUCUCAGAUUAGCCCCCAUCCUGCCUCGUCUUAUUUCUGAGAACUAGUCUGGAUUUGUUCAAGGAAGGAGUAUUUAUGAAAAUAUUAUGCUAGCUUAGGAGCUUAUUCACGAUAUAAAUAAGCCCAAGACAGGAGACAAUGUGGUCAUAAAACUUGACAUGGCCAAAGCUUAUGACAGGGUUUCUUGGUCCUAUACAUGUUUAGUUAUGAGAAGAAUGGGUUUUGGAGAAAUGAUCAUUGACAUGAUUUGGAGACUUGUGUCAAACAAUUGGUACUCUAUCAUUAUCAAUGGUUCUAGACAUGGUUCUGUCAUUCUACAAGAGGUCUCAAGCAAGGUGAUCCUCUGUCCUCAUCUCUCUUUAUCAUUGGUGCAGAGGUCCUUACUAGGAUGCUAAACAAUCUUCAUCAACACUAUCUCUAUAAGGGCUUUCAUAUGGAAAGAAAUGGUCCUCAAGUAAAUCAUUUGAGUUUUGCAGAUGAUAUAAUAAUCUUCACAUCAACUAGCAAAUACUCUUUGAAUCUUAUUAUCAGGACUAUGCAGAUGUAUGAAACAACUUCUGGACAGCUAUUAACAAGUCAGCUACUUAUUGCAGAAAAAACACCUCCUGAUAUCAUAGAAAGAACUAAAGCUAUUACUGGUUUUAGUCACACUUUUGGGCCUAUCACAUAUUUGGGUUGUCCUUUAUAUAUUGGUCGUCAAAAGAAUAUUUAUUUCACUUCAUGGUGGUUAAAGUUAUUGGCAGAAUCAAAGGAUGGCAAACCAAAAUGUUAAGCUAUGGGGGCAGAAGUACUCCUGUCAAAUCUGUCUUAUAUUCAAUGCCCAUAUAUCUGCUAACUGCUAUCAUCCCUACGACUACUACCCUCAAACAGAUCAAGUGUCUUAUAACUGACUUCUUUUGGGGGUUGGAGAAGGACAAAAGAAAAUACCAUUGGGCCUCCUGGGAAACUCUAAGUUUUCUUUGUGAAGAGGGUGGAAUUGGUAAUUGAAGAAUCUUGGUGGAACUUCAGAUCCAAAAAGUCCCUUUGGGGUGACUUCCUCAAAGCUAAAUAUUGUCAAAAAGCUAAUCCUGUCAUUAAAAAUGGAACUCUGGACAAUCCAUUGGUGGAAGAAUAUGAUCAUUAACAGGAUGGAAGUUGAACCUCACAUUCAAUGGACUAUUAACUCUGGAAGCUGCAGUUUUUAGUGGGAUAACUGGCUGGGGGUGAGAUCUCCAGCAAAUCACAAUGAUUACCUUCCCAGUCUAAAUAAUGUCACAGUUUCCAGCUACCUUGUUAAUGGAGAGUGGGAUGAGGAUAAAUAGGACAGCAUGCACCUCAACAACUCAUUCAUAAAAUCCUCAAUACUAAUGUUAGAGUGCAACAGGACAUCCCAGAUCAAGCCAUCUGGAUACUUACUACCAGUGGGAGUUUCACUUGUGCUUCAGCAUGGGAGCAUGUUAGGAAGAAAAGGAAUAGGACUUUAACUGACUCCCUAAUUUGGCAUAAAGCUAUUCCUUUCAAGGUCUCCUUUUUAUUAUGGAGAGCACUCAGACUCAAGCUCCCAACAAAUGACAAAAUUAGUGCCUUUGGACACUCUACUGCAAAUUGUUCAGGUUAUUACAUUCCAGGAAGAUGUUGAUCAUAUUUUCAUUUCUGGAAAAUUUGUUAAGCAUAUUUGGAAGCAUUUUGCUAGUAGGCUGGGGGUACAACAUAGCAGAACCCCUAUGAGGAGUAUGCUGAUGAAUUGGUGGAUUACUAAACCUAACAAUGAAGUUCACAAGCUCAUAAUGAAAGCCACCCCCAUUUUCAUUUGCUGGAACCUUUGGAAGAAUAGGUGUGCUAGUAAAUAUGGUGGGAAACAAUCAAGUACAACUAGAGUGAAAUUCUUUAUCUCCAAGGAGCUUCACGUGCUUAUUAUCACUACUUAUCCAUCCAUCAAAUGGCCUAACAACUGGAAUGAGUUUAUUUCUCUGGUGGAGAACUGCCAACAUGAUAUAAAGGUCUCUGGUAGUGCUCUGGAGAAUCCAGGUAGGAUUGGAGCUGGGGGCCUACUGAGAGAUCAUAAAGGCAAACUGAUCUAUGCCUUUGCUACACCUUUAGGUGUGGGUUCAAACAAUCAAGCAGAAGUUAUGGCUGCAGCCUUUGGGAUGAAUUGGUAUAUUUAACAUGGGUAUAGUAGGAUCAUUUUGGAAGUAGAUUCUGAACUUUUAGUAAUGGCUCAAGCAAGAAAGUACCCCCUCCUUGGAGCAUCUACAAAAAUAUCAUGGAACUUCAAGACUUGAUUAAAAUGACUGAUUUUUUUCAAUGCAAUCAUGUCUUUAGAGAGGCCAAUUUCCCUGCUGAUACUCUUUCAAAACACAGUCAUUUGAUGAAAAAUACUCAACAUUUUUACAAUUAUCUUCAUCUGCCUAAAGAGACUAGAGGUUACAUCAAUUUAGACAGAAUGGGCAUGGCAUGCUUCAGAAGGAAAAAGUUGAAGAGGACCAAAAAACCACCCUAGAAGAUGGCUGAUCAGUAUCCUUCUUCAUUUCCUUUUUUUGCAACUUCUUCCCUUGAGCUACAUAUUAUAGAUACAGCUUCUAGGAAGAGGUUAGUUUUUGGUUAGGCUCUUUUCUCUAUUGUAAGGGAAGAGUCUCCCUUAUUUAUGAUUUCCUAGUUUAUAUGUAUUGAGAGGAAUCCUCUCUUCUAGGUACAUAGAUCUAGGUUUCUUUCAAUAGAUUUUAGGGUCAAGUUGAUAAGCCUUAUUAGGCUAGUCAACAUAUGAUCUACCAUGGGAUUGGAGAUUAGGUUUAUGUCCCCCUCCUUGUAUAUUUUGUUUAUAGGAUUGGAGAUUAGGUUUAUGUCCCCCCUCCUUGUAUAUUUUGUUUUGUUUUAUUAUAUGCUAAGGCCUAGGGGGGUUUCUAAGCCCCUGACCCCUCAAGGGUCAUUAAAAUAAAAUAAAAUUAAAAAACUAAGGAACAAGAGAAGAACAAAUUAUAGUAGGAACCUUUUUGAUAAAAAUAACAGAGAUGACAAACAUUUUCAAACAUUUUCACUGUCAUCCAAAUACUGGUACGUAACCUCCCACACUAGUCUCAUGACCAUAAUUCAUAGCAUCCAAAUAUUUCCUCAAUUGCUUUUUCCAUCAAACCAAGUUUGCAGAUUCGAGUUACUGCUAAACUGAAAGAACUCUUGACCUUUGACAGACCAAAUAGAUAAAAAGAAGAAAAUAUAUUUAAGCUAUUAGCAACAAGGAAAUCCACUGAAGUUAGAUACUAUACUAGACAGACUCUUAUUCCAUGAUUCCCUUUCCCUAUUAACGGUAUUUUAAAGAGCACUAGUAAUGAAGAUCCUACAUCAAACCAUAAUCCCGGCAAUGGUUAUGCCUAGUAUUAUUGUAACAUUCACCUGGCAUAAUUUUCAUGUUACCCACACUAAGCUAGCGUUUGGUCAUAAAUUUUCAAAUAUUUUUGGUAAAUAUUAUUUGGGUGAAAAAUUUGGGUGAAAUUUCACCAUCUGUUUGGCCAUAGUAUUUGGGAAAUAUAUUUCACUUUUUCAGAAAAAUAUGAUUUAUACCCAUAAGUUUUAAAAACUAUCAAAACUAACCAUAAAUUUGUAUUACAAGUCAAUUGGAUCUUCGUUGCAACAAAUAACAAAUAGUGUCCAUGACACUAGAGCAAUGUGGUAGUUUGGAGUGAGUGUAACAAGCAUCAUUCCAUACAUCGUGAAGUAACGACAAAGCACAUGACUUUGUUAUCAUGACCCGAUUGUUCAUCAUUUUCAUCAAUAACCAUAUCAUCACUGUCAUAUUCACUGAAUAUUUCAUCACUACUUUGGUGUUCACGUAAAAAUUUAUGUAAUACAACGUAAACAUUACUAUGGAGGGUGUUUUUGUAAAAGACAAAAGUUUGGUGUAAAAUUUUAAUUUUCAAAAGAUCCCAAAUAAUGAGAUUUGGCCCAAAUACUAAAAAAAUUAGUAUUUGGGAAUUUGGGAUAUUUGCCAAAAAUAUUUGUCAAAUAAUGACAAAUUGUAUGGACAAACACUAUUUGCCAAAUUUCCCCCCAAAUAUUAUUUGGGAAAUCUAUGGCCAAACGGGCCCUAAAGAUAUGUCUCAUUCCCUUAAAAUGCAGCUUGAAAAGAAAAUCAAUUUCCAACUUUAUUUAGUUUUUGAGUUUUGAAGACACCAACGUCUACAAACAAAUAAAUGUUCUAAAAAAAGUUGUUUCAUAGAAUAUGCAUAAAGAAAAAGGACAAGAGAAGAUCUCAAGCAGACCUUGUGUGACAAUGUCCCUAACAUGCAAUGUAGAAACAACAAACACAGUGUAUUCUCACAAGUGGGGUCUAGGGAGAGAAGUAUGCAUGCAAACUUUACCCCUACCUUUGAGAAGGUAGAGGCCUUAUCCAAAAGAACCUUAAACAUGCAAUGUAUUUUUCGAUAUUUGACAAUAGAAGAAGAAUUGAACUGCACUUGCGAGACAUGUAUUAAGUGGAAACUUACAAAUCAUUAGUUACACAAUUGUAAUUCAUUUGAGCAUUUGCAGCCUUCAUUGUUGCUUAAUCCUUGUUGGUUUUGUGAAAGCGGACAGACAAGGCUUUCAAUGUAGAUUUUUAUUUUUUUUGAUAACCGAGAAAUCCGUUUGUGACCCGCCCUUUGGACCAAUCAUAGCCUUCUAAACUCGGUGGAUAAUGGG